AAUGGAACUGCUGGGUCACAUGGUAACUCUAUGUUUACCUUUUUGAGAAACUGCCAAACUGUUUCUAUAGUGGCUUUACCAUUUACACUCCCAUCAGCAGU
rnacentral:pre_miRNA from 1 species